GACUCCUUGCUUGAGGGGCAGAGUCCUCUUGCUCUAAGAAAAGAAAUUGGUUCUUCCUUUCAUCUACUUUUCCUGCCAGUGUUUAUUUGCUAGCCCAUAUGUUCCUGCACAGGGUCACUCCUAUUGUGAAAUAAAUGCUGAAUAAAUAAAA
ensembl:lncRNA novel transcript